UACGAAGGGGGCUAGCGUUGCUCGGAUUGACUGGGCGUAAAGGGCGCGUAGGCGGUUUGUACAGUUGGGCGUGAAAUUCCUGGGCUCAACCUGGGGGCUGCGUUUGAUACGUGCGGACUUGAGUGCGGAAGAGGGUCGUGGAAUUCCCAGUGUAGAGGUGAAAUUCGUAGAUAUUGGGAAGAACACCGGUGGCGAAGGCGGCGACCUGGUCCGAUACUGACGCUGAGGCGCGAAAGCGUGGGGAGCAAACAGG
rnacentral:rRNA from 1 species